AACGUAGGUGGCAAGCGUUAUCCGGAUUCACUGGGCGUAAAGCGCAUGCAGGUGGCACAGUAAGUAGGGCAUGAAAACUCCUGGCUUAACUGGGAGAGGCUGUCCUAGACUGCUGAGCUUGAGGAUGGGAGAGGGAAGUGGAAUUGCCGGUGUAGUGGUGAAAUGCGUAGAUAUCGGGAGGAACACCAGUGGCGAAGGCGACUUCCUGGCCUGUUCUUGACGCUGAGGCGCGAAAGCUAGGGGAGCAAACGGG
rnacentral:rRNA from 1 species